GAUGAACGCUGGCGGCGUGCUUAACACAUGCAAGUCGAACGAUGAAGCCCAGCUUGCUGGGUGGAUUAGUGGCGAACGGGUGAGUAACACGUGAGUAACCUGCCCUUGACUCUGGGAUAAGCCUGGGAAACUGGGUCUAAUACUGGAUAUGACUUCUCAUCGCAUGGUGGGGGGUGGAAAGAUUUAUUGGUCUUGGAUGGACUCGCGGCCUAUCAGCUUGUUGGUGAGGUAAUGGCUCACCAAGGCGACGACGGGUAGCCGGCCUGAGAGGGUGACCGGCCACACUGGGACUGAGACACGGCCCAGACUCCUACGGGAGGCAGCAGUGGGGAAUAUUGCACAAUGGGCGCAAGCCUGAUGCAGCGACGCCGCGUGAGGGAUGGCGGCCUUCGGGUUGUAAACCUCUUUCAGUAGGGAAGAAGCGAGAGUGACGGUACCUGCAGAAGAAGCGCCGGCUAACUACGUG
rnacentral:rRNA from 1 species